rnacentral:rRNA from 1 species
GAUGAACGCUGGCGGCGUGCUUAACACAUGCAAGUCGAACGGAAAGGCCCAAGCUUGCUUGGGUACUCGAGUGGCGAACGGGUGAGUAACACGUGGGUGAUCUGCCCUGCACUUCGGGAUAAGCCUGGGAAACUGGGUCUAAUACCGGAUAGGACCACAUUUUGGAUGGUGUGGUGGAAAGUUUUUCGGUGUGGGAUGAGCUCGCGGCCUAUCAGCUUGUUGGUGGGGUAAUGGCCUACCAAGGCGUCGACGGGUAGCCGGCCUGAGAGGGUGUACGGCCACAUUGGGACUGAGAUACGGCCCAGACUCCUACGGGAGGCAGCAGUGGGGAAUAUUGCACAAUGGGCGCAGGCCUGAUGCAGCGACGCCGCGUGGGGGAUGACGGCCUUCGGGUUGUAAACUCCUUUCGCUAGGGACGAAGCGCAAGUGACGGUACCUGGAGAAGAAGCACCGGCUAACUACGUG